GCCCUCGUAGUUUAAUGGAUAGAACACUGGCCUCCGAAGCUGGAAAUUGAGGUUCGAUUCCUCAUGGGGGCA
rnacentral:tRNA from 1 species